UUCUAACCUCUAAUAUCUAAAUCGUUAGUGGCGGACGGGUGAGUAACACGUUGGAACCUGCCCCAAGUAGGGAUAGCCACCGAAAGGUGGUUUAAUACCUUAUAGUAUCCAUCUCGUAUGGAUUAAAGCUUUAUGCGCUUUGGGAGGGGCCUGCGUUUGAUUAGCUAGUUGGUGAGGUAAAAGCUCACCAAGGCGACGAUCAAUAGCUGGUUUGAGAGGAUGACCAGCCACACUGGGACUGAGAUACGGCCCAGACUCCUACGGGAGGCAGCAGUAAGGAAUCUUCCACAAUGGGGGCAACCCUGAUGGAGCAAUACCGCGUGCAGGAUGAAGCGUUUCGGCGUGUAAACUGCUUUUAUCACCGAAGAUUAUGACUGUAGGUGAAGAAUAAGGACCGGCUAACUACGUG
rnacentral:rRNA from 1 species